rnacentral:rRNA from 1 species
AUGGCGGGGAAAAGGAUGGGGCGGGCGUCCUACAUCCGGAUCAAGCACGAGGAGGAGCGGCACGAGGCGUCCUGGAAGGAGCCCGAGGGCUGGGUCUUCUCCGCCACCACGCGCACCGAUCACUCCGGCUGCUCCUCCGCCCGCCGCGGCGGCGACCUAGGAAUUUGGACCGUCCUGCAAGAAGAAUCAGUUGAGAAGAUUGGACUAUGCUACUUCUCUAAGGCUGAGUAUACACUCUUUGUUGUUAAUUGUAGUGAUAGUUACUAUUAUUGA